rnacentral:rRNA from 1 species
UUCCUACGGGGGGCAGCAGUGGGGAAUAUUGGGCAAUGGGCGCAAGCCUGACCCAGCAACGCCGCGUGAAGGAAGAAGGCUUUCGGGUUGUAAACUUCUUUUCUCAGGGACGAAGAAAGUGACGGUACCUGAGGAAUAAGCCACGGCUAACUACGUGCCAGCAGCCGCGGUAAUACGUAGGUGGCAAGCGUUAUCCGGAUUUACUGGGUGUAAAGGGCGUGUAGGCGGGGAAGCAAGUCAGAUGUGAAAACCACGGGCUCAACCUGUGGCCUGCAUUUGAAACUGGUUUUUUUU